UGAGGUAGUAGGUUGUAUGGUCU
rnacentral:ncRNA from 2 species